UUCGGUCGAUUGAUAGUAUGGAGAGCGGCGGACGGGUGAGUAACGCGUAGGCAACCUGCCUUAUGCAGAGGGAUAGCCAUUGGAAACGAUGAUUAAAACCUCAUAAUGCCAAGGGUUCACAUGUACUUUUGGCCAAAGAUUUAUCGGCAUAAGAUGGGCCUGCGUCUGAUUAGCUAGUUGGUGAGGUAACGGCCCACCAAGGCGACGAUCAGUAGCCGGACUGAGAGGUUGACCGGCCACAUUGGGACUGAGAUACGGCCCAGACUCC
rnacentral:rRNA from 1 species